rnacentral:rRNA from 1 species
AGCAGUAGCCGCGGGAAUACGUAGGUGGCAAGCGUUGUCCGGAAUUAUUGGGCGUAAAGGGCUCGCAGGCGGUUUCUUAAGUCUGAUGUGAAAGCCCCCGGCUCAACCGGGGAGGGUCAUUGGAAACUGGGAAACUUGAGUGCAGAAGAGGAGAGUGGAAUUCCACGUGUAGCGGUGAAAUGCGUAGAGAUGUGGAGGAACACCAGUGGCGAAGGCGACUCUCUGGUCUGUAACUGACGCUGAGGAGCGAAAGCGUGGGGAGCGAACAGGAUUAGAUACCCCGUAGUCCCUGUCUCUUAUACA